GUUCAAAUGAGAUUAAUAAUUUCUCUUUCUUCAGUUCCUUAGAAUGAAUAUUCCAGUGCUUCAAUAAUCAAACCUUCAAUAAUCCAGUGAAACAAUUUGUAGAAAUUGCAACGCAGAUAUCAACAGAAGAAAAAUUUUCACCGGAUGAUGACCGGAUGGCCUACAUCAUAGGAUUUCAACACGAAAACAGCACGUAGAUAACAAAACAAAAGUUCCUUAGAAUGAAUAUUCCAGUGCUUCAAUAAUCAAACCUUCAAUAAUCCAGUGAAACAAUUUGUAGAAAUUGCAACGCAGAUAUCAACAGAAGAAAAGUAGGUGUCUCAUGGUGGCUCGCCAUCUCACACUAUGCACAUUCGAAGUUCCAGAUUAAUGCAGUCCACAGUAAAGAGAUCCAGAAUCUGAUUUCUCAGACAACAAAACUGGCCUGUGCACAACACACAGGAUACACACUUAAUCAAUGUAUACAUCACAUGCAUCUCUCAUUAUA